rnacentral:rRNA from 1 species
CUACGGGCCGCACCAGUGGGGAAUAUUGCACAAUUGGCGCAAGCCUGAUGCAGCCAUGCCGCGUGUAUGAAGAAGGCCUUCGGGUUGUAAAGUACUUUCAGCGGGGAGGAAGGGAGUAAAGUUAAUACCUUUGCUCAUUGACGUUACCCGCAGAAGAAGCACCGGCUAACUCCGUGCCAGCAGCCGCGGUAAUACGGAGGGUGCAAGCGUUAAUCGGAAUUACUGGGCGUAAAGCGCACGCAGGCGGUUUGUUAAGUCAGAUGUGAAAUCCCCGGGCUCAACCUGGGAACUGCAUCUGAUACUGGCAAGCUUGAGUCUCGUAGAGGGGGGUAGAAUUCCAGGUGUAGCGGUGACAUGCGUAGAGAUCUGGAGGAAUACCGGUGGCGAAGGCGGCCCCCUGGACGAAGACUGACGCUCAGGUGCGAAAGCGUGGGGAGCAAACAGGAUUAGAUACCCCAGUAGUC